rnacentral:rRNA from 1 species
UACAGAGGGUGCGAGCGUUAAUCGGAAUUACUGGGCGUAAAGCGUGCGUAGACGGUCAAGUAAGUCGGGUGUGAAAGCCCCGGGCUCAACCUGGGAAUUGCAUUCGAGACUGCGUGGCUAGGGUGCGGAAGAGGGAAGCGGAAUUCCGGUGUAGCGGUGAAAUGCGUAGAUAUCGGAAGGAACACCAGUGGCGAAAGCGGCUCCUGGCCCACAAC